GCCUGUUUGGUGCAGUGGUUUGUGCUCUUGGCCGAAGAGCCAUAGGUUGCGGGUUCUAUUCCCCCUGCCGGUA